UACGGAGGAUCCAAGCGUUAUCCGGAAUCAUUGGGUUUAAAGGGUCCGUAGGCGGUUUGGUAAGUCAGUGGUGAAAGCCCAUCGCUCAACGGUGGAACGGCCAUUGAUACUGCCAGACUUGAAUUAUUAGGAAGUAACUAGAAUAUGUAGUGUAGCGGUGAAAUGCUUAGAGAUUACAUGGAAUACCAAUUGCGAAGGCAGGUUACUACUAAUGGAUUGACGCUGAUGGACGAAAGCGUGGAUAGCGAACAGG
rnacentral:rRNA from 1 species